CACACACCACGGUAAGUGGACACCCAGAGAGACCACGGAGGGGGCCGUGGCCAAGGCAGUGGGGCUUUGCUGGAUCCCCACUUCACUGUCCGCUCCGCACUGCGCGCGGACAGAGCCCACCCCCAGCCAGGGAAUUGCACACCAGCUUCCAGCCCUGGAAUUACCUAGCAAGGCGACUUGGAUAUUGCCACAAAGCUUCACACCCACCUAAACCAUGAGAGGGAAAUACAAGGAGCGUGGAGGUUGCGGAGUGGACGGGGAAGGGAGAAGAAGAAAGACACGCCGCAGGAAGGAACCGGAGGUCCCCGCAAGGCUCCGCACGUUCCUGGGUCGCCAAAUGUGCCCGAGAGCUGAGCCAGAACGUGCCGGCACAUAACCGAGUCACCCGGGCAGCCGCCGAUGUUCUGACUGCGUCCAUUGGCCGCCGCAACAAAGAGGGGCGGGGCCCGAGCGCGGGACUCUCACAACCCGGGGCUCCGCCGCGCUCUGAUUGGCUCCGGAGGCUCCUGGGCGGGAGCGAAGAGGAGGAGGGGGCCCCGGGCGGCCGCGCGAAAUGCGAUUGCCGUCUUGUCCUGGGACCCCCGCGGGGGCGGGAGCGUGGGUCCCUGGGACUUAGGACAGAGUUUCCCCAAGGGUCGUGGUACUGCGGGAGUUGCAACUGUGGGAAGCAGAGGAAAAGUAAAGCCACCCAAGAAGUGACCCUGAGAGUAAAGCCACCCAAGAAGUGACCCCGAGGUAGACGAGGGCUUGUGGUAAGACACAUUCCCUGAGGAACACUGGACACACUCACCUGCCGCUACCAAGCGGUGAUGGGUGGUUCAGGCAGGGCUGUUCACAUGAUGGAACAAUGCUAAUGUGUGUGUAUGUAUGUAUAUAUAUAUAUAUAUACACACACACACUUUUUUAACCCCACAUUACGAAUUACCCAAAACCCACUAGGUGACAGAGCCAUAGAUCCUCUGACAUUAUUGUUGUUCAGUCGCUCAAUCGUGUCCGACUCUUUGUGACCCUGUGGACUGCAGCACACCAGGCUUCACUGUCCAUCACCAACUCCAGGACUUUGCUCAAAUGCAUGUCCAUCGAGUGGGUGAUGCCAUCCAACUAUCUCAUCUUCUGUCGUCCCCUUCUCCUUUUGCCUCAGUCUUUCCCAGGAUCAGGAUCUUUUCCAACGAGUCGGCUUUUCGCAUCAGGUGAUCGAAGUAUUGGAGCUUCAGCUUCAGCAUCUUUCCUUGUGAGACAUUAGUCCAGAGAGACAAAUAAAGUCCCUUUACACCCAAGAUAAUAUGCGAAGGAGUGGUCAUCGAGGUUCACAUUGUUGUCACAGCUACUGAUUUAGGAGAGGAGGGAGAGAUGCUUCAGAGCCAGGGUGAAGUGGAGGCCCUCCCACACUCCCCAGGGAAAGACCUUUGUCUUAAAGACAUCUUCUUUUUAAAAAGAAGAGCAAGGUGAGAGGGGAAGAGCACCAGAGUCCUCACCUGAGGGCUAGCCCUAAGGCCAGGUUUAUCAGUUGGCUAAGCUGUGUGACCCAGGACAAGCCAUUGCCUGUUUUGUGCCUCGGCCUCUAUCUGAGAAGAGCAGAUCGCUCACUCUCCAAGGUCUGUUCUGGCUCUAAGAUUCUGUGAUCCUCUGACUUCCUCGCUUAUGGAGACUUCAGAACUUGGCUGUAAAGCCUUUCUCUUUAAACUCCAGGCCAGCCUGCCAGCUUUGAGGAGUUAAAGCAGCUGUGACAGCAAUGCUAGGUUAACCUCAAAUUAAAAAUGCAGUCAUCUGCAGACAUAGAGAAUAGACUUAUUGCCGGGGCGGGGGAAUGGAGAGAGUAGCAUGGAAACAUAUACACUGCUGUAUGUAAAAUAGAUAGGCAGUGGGAAUUUACUCUACGACUUGGGGAACUCAAACCUGGGCUCUGUGACAACCUAGAGGGCUGGGAUGGGGUGGGAGGUGGGAGGUGGGAGGGAGAUUCAAGAGAGAAGGGACAUGUAUACUUAUGGCUGAUUCAUGUUGACAUAAGGCCGAAUCCAACACAACACUGUAAAACAAUUAUCCUUCAAUUAAAACAGAUAAUUUUUUUUUAAUGAAGAGGAAAAAGAAGCAAUCAUCUAAAACCACUGAUGACAGAUCUGUUUCUGGAUGCUACGGGUUAGUCGCUCCUGUGGAACUGGAACUCCGCUUUCAGAGAACGGUGUGCUGAGGGGUGGGUGCUGGAGUGUAGCUCCUGGCUCAGAAGAAAGGUGAGGUAGAGACCUGGAUUCCUAACCAGUCCUGCAGCAUCACCGACAGAGCCCAGGCCCUGGACUUUAUAGAUUCCACAGUGAGAGUAACUCAGGUCCAGAUAGAGGAAAUGGACCUAAUAAUAACAUUCAGGAAAUUAUCUGAGUAAUUCAAGUACAAGCACACCUGGAAAAAAUAGGGAAUGGAAAGAGAGUUAUCCUCUCAAUACAUAAUUGCCUUGGUUUUCAUUUCCUGAUUAGGAGAAAACAUGCCUCAGAGGAAUGAGCUGUAUUCUCACCUCAAACAGCCUUCCUCCCUUUUCUCACUCUCUUUCAGAUCCGUCUCUUUCUCCUCGCUUCCCCUGGGGUUUCAAGUCCAGGAGACUAGGGUUUCAAGAUGCAGAUCUGUAUGCAGAGUAGAGAAUAUGGCCUCACAAGCCCUCAGGAGAAAAGGGAGCUUCCUAAGCUCAAGUGAUCAGACCCGUUAGUGAACAUCACAGAGUGUCUGGCAAGUGUCCUUGGCAUCAAUCUCCAGUGUCCCCACUCAGGCCAAAUUCAAACAACUACAAGGUCCAUGUCAACCCAGGGCCUGGAUCCUGCUUCACCCGGAUCAAGAUCCUAGGGACCAGAGAGGGUCAUCGAUCAUCUUCCUGGCCUAGGCACCUCAGGACUCCCCCACAGUUGAAGGAAACGCUUUUGUUUUUCAUCUCCAGUAUUCCUACUAUCCAUCCUCCAUCCCAGGGGAUGGGUGCAGUGGGGAGUCAAGUGAAACGGUCUAAGAAGACAGCUAUGAGAUUUGGUUAAUUUUCCAAAGAGGUGGUAAGACAGCUUCUGAUGUGAGCUGCGCUGUCCCGCUGAAAGGACUGGAGGUCAGAAGGGCCCUUUUGUUCAGAAUCCUUUUGCAUCUGAGAACUGUACUCAUUGUGUGGACCAGCCGACUCUGUUCUCCAUUUCUUUGUGUAUUUCGUGUUAUAUAACACUCAAGUGAACCCAGGCCAGACAGAUUAUGGGUUUUAGGGGGUUUUUUUUGUUUGUUUGUUUUUAAUUUUUUAAUUGAAGUAUAGUUGAUUUACAAUGUUGUGUUAGUUUCAGGUGUACAGAAAAGUGAUUAAGCUAUAUAUAUAUAUUCUUUUAUAUAUAAUAUACUUUUAUUUAUAAUAUAUGUAUUUUUCAGAUUCUUUUGCCAUAUAGGUUGUUACAAAAUACUGAGUAUAGUUCCUUAUGCUAUACAGUAGGUCCUUGUUGGUUAUCUCUUUUAUAUAUAGUACUCUGCUGUGUUUAGUCACUCAGUCAUGUCUGACUCUUUGCAACACUGUGGACUAUAGCCCACCAGCCUCCUCUGUCCAUGGAAUUUUACAGGUAAGAAUAUUGGAGUGGGUUGCCAUGCCCUCCUCCAGGGGAUCUUCCCAACCUAGGGAUUGAACCCAGGUCUCCUGCAUUGCAGGAGGAUUCUUUACUGUCUGAACCAUCAAGGAAACCUAAGAAUACUGGACUGGGUAGCCUAUCCCUGCUCCAGAGGAUCUUCCUGACCCAGGAAUCAAACCAGGGUCUCCUGCAUUGCAGGCGGAUUCUUUACUAGCUGAGCUACCAGGGAAGCCCAUGUAUAGUACCGUAUAUAUGUUAAUCCCAAACGGCUAAUUUAUCGCCUCCUUUCCUCCUUUGGCAGCCAGGGCUCAGGUGGUUAGUAAGAGUGACAUAGCCACAUAUGCACACAGUGGGGCAAGGCCAACUUGACACAUGAUGACCAGCUGCUCAACCUCUGAGAGCAUAGUCCUAUUUGUUCACCAGCAUAACAACUGGCAUAGCAGAGACAUGUAGUAGUUUUAAUUUAUGGUUUGGAACCAUAAA
ensembl:lncRNA